AAAAAUCCGUUGGAUUUAUUUACCGUGAGGGUUCAAGUCCCUCUACCCUCAA
rnacentral:tRNA from 2 species